AUAAUUAAAAAUUUAGUAGAUUAUUUUUAACAUAUCUCCUUAUUUUAGAUUUAUGCUCAAAUCUACCAGCAAGGUAGAUAUGAUAAGCAUCAGAUGCAGCUUCUUGAAAGAAGCCUCUAAUUUCAAUAUAUUCCAUCGCUUUGGAUCCCGUUAAUUUAGUACGUGUAGUAUUCUUUUUCUAUCCUAAUAUAUGAAACUAUAGUUAUAAAUACAAGUGAAACUUGGAGCUUCUGGUAAGCAAACGGGAAUUUAAAGAUGGAAUCACUCAAACUUGAGAAACCUAAUGGUUGUCAAUCGCAGGUACCGGCCAAGAAAGAGCCGGCCAAGGCAACCGACUGCAAAACUUGCCCCACGAAGGGCGAGCACAAGCCUCGGGAGCCCAGGAAGAAGGGAUUAUGUUGGAAGUCCGCUGGGAAAAAGUAAGGCUAAGGAAGAGUAAAUUUAAGUUAUAUGUGUGCAGUUUGUUAAGCAGCUAUUUUGUGGCUAUCUUAAUUAUAUAAAUGUUAUAGAAGCAGCGUCAUGUGUGUAUCACUAUGUAACCUUUGUCCUUAGGCUUGGCUUUGCCCAAUAAAAUGAUGAUGCUGCAUCGUCAAAUUAUCUACAUAAUCGAUAUAUAGUUCUUAAAGUUUA